rnacentral:lncRNA from 1 species
ACAGCUGCCGAGAGUUGAGGACUGUGUCCUCGUCAUGCCGUGCUGGGUCAGCAUUCCAUCAUACAGUGUGUCUGGCCUGGCACUGCCUAUGGCCCCUCCCCUCGCAGUCCUCUCCUUCAGGCCUCUUUCUCCAGGAGGACAGACAGGGUGCUGGGCUCCACCCUCUCUGGCCCUUACUGGACUAAGGGUCUGACUCUGCCCAUCAUCCAUGGCUGCUGCUCACUCCCCUCCCCCUACCUCGUCACCCAGUUUGUUCUUCAGCUGUCAUUCAUAGUGUUCCUUCCUUCUCUCGUCUUCUGCUGUGCAGCUCCCUCCUACACCUCCCUCUCUGUGACCUGUGGGCCCCCUUCCACCCCAGGGAGCAGGAUCCUGGGAUGAGGAAGUGCAGGAGGACCCACAGCAGGAAAGGGAGCCACACUCGGGCUCAUUCCCUCUUCUGUGUGACUCCUUGGAGGUGGAGCUCUGCACUCCUCACGUGCCCUGUGGUGUAGCCCUAUGUCCUGCUGUGCUUUGAGCCAGCCCAUCUUCCUUCCUCCCGGGUCUUGGAGGUGUGGCUGCUGAGCCUGCUCUCCUCCUCCAUGUACAUGUGUAGCUCAUCCUGGACAUUCCGUCUGAGCCGCUGCUUUCCCUGCCGUCCCCUUUGUGAGCCUCCCUUUCCGAGCCUAGGUCCACAGUCUAAACUUCAUGGAGCUGCUGCA